GGCGGCGUGCCUAACACAUGCAAGUCGUACGAGAAAGUCGGCUUCGGCUGAUGAGUAAAGUGGCGCACGGGUGAGUAACGCGUGGAUAAUCUGCCUUUUAGUUGGGAAUAACGUACCGAAAGGUGCGCUAAUACCGGAUAAUACUGCAUAACUACUGUUGUGUAGUCAAAGAAGGCCUCUGUUUACAAGCUUUUGCUGAAAGAUGAGUCCGCGUACCAUUAGCUAGUUGGUAGGGUAAUGGCCUACCAAGGCUACGAUGGUUAGCUGGUCUGAGAGGAUGAUCAGCCACACUGGAACUGAGACACGGUCCAGACUCCUACGGGAGGCAGCAGUGAGGAAUAUUGCGCAAUGGGGGCAACCCUGACGCAGCAACGCCGCGUGAGUGAGGAAGGUUUUCGGACCGUAAAGCUCUGUCGAGCGGGAAGAAAUGUAUCGUGGCUAAUAUCCAUGAUAUUUGACGGUACCGCUAAAGGAAGCACCGGCUAACUCCGUG
rnacentral:rRNA from 1 species